rnacentral:lncRNA from 1 species
UCAGCCCAGGUUGGCCUUGAACUCUAGAUCCUCCUGCCUCAGCCUUUGGACCAUGGGCCUAUGGGCUCACAUCGGCCUCAGGCCUGACUCAGACUCAGCAGAAGCACAUAGAGCUCUUGCUCUGUCAAUUAUUGGCUCUAUGCUUUUGAACAUGCUUGAUUUCUCUAAACUUUUAGUUUAAUGAGGGGAAAAUAUGUGUGCUGGGUAUAAUUCCUUACACUUGUAAUCCAAAGGGAGGCUGAGGCAGAAGGAUCCUAAGGUCGGGUAAGCCUGGGCUACACAGUGAGUUUCAUGUCAUCCUCACAGAAGAUAGGGGUUGGGGGAGAACAGGAUACAGUGGCUGCAGUCCCAGCACUUGGGAGGUAGAAGCAGGAACAUUCAGACUUCAAAGUCAUCCUCAGCUACACGGUGAGUUUGAACCUGUUCCAAAACAAACAGGCGAGACCCCUAGAACAUUCACCUUACUCAUAACCUUGUUCAAAAUAAGUUCUGUGUGUGGAAGAUUAUUUUGUGAAGUACUGAGACCCUGCAGAUACCAAGCAAACAGGUAAAAACUGGUGGCUACAAGUGGUACAGAUGUUUUGGAGGGGUCUGUCUGUCUGUUUUUUGUUCUUCAAGGCAGAGUUUCUGUCUAGCCCUGGCUGCUCUGGAACUUGCUUUGUAGACCAGGCUGGCCUGGAACUCAGAGAUCUGCCU